UUUCCUCUCCUUGGUAUUCAAGGCUGGUUUGGUGUGUGUCAUGGUGUAACUCACCCUGUGGUCAAAAGCGAAUGUUGGAAUAAGUGCUUGAAGGAGUUUUUCUAAUGCCUCUUCCUCUCUUUUGUCAACUGCAUCCAGCAAGUUUAAGGCUUGAGCUUGGCUCCUUGGCCAGUCUUGACUGGGACUGAAAAUUCUUUCUCUCACUCCUCUCUCCAGCCUGUCUGGACAGCGGGUCUCUGUGGCAUAGGAGAGUAGUGGAAACAGACUGAGCCCGGCCAUCGUGGGUUCAAAUCCUGGUUCCACCACUUACUACCUGGGGGCCUCAGACAAGACACUGUAAUUGGGUUGUUGUAAGGACUGGACCCUGUCCUAGGGGAAUGUUGUGGGUGGUCAGCGUGUGAUGGCUGCUGUCGUCAUGUUAUGGCUCAUUCUAAAACUUGUUGAGGAAAAGAUGAGUAGUGAGGUCUGGUGUAGCUCUUGCUUUGGGGGCUGUAGGUGUGGGUACCUGGCCCGGCUGCUGCCUUCGA
rnacentral:lncRNA from 10 species